GAUGAACGCUGGCGGCGUGCCUAAUACAUGCAAGUCGAGCGAACAGACGAGGAGCUUGCUCCUCUGACGUUAGCGGCGGACGGGUGAGUAACACGUGGAUAACCUACCUAUAAGACUGGGAUAACUUCGGGAAACCGGAGCUAAUACCGGAUAAUAUAUUGAACCGCAUGGUUCAAUAGUGAAAGACGGUUUUGCUGUCACUUAUAGAUGGAUCCGCGCCGCAUUAGCUAGUCGGUAAGGUAACGGCUUACCAAGGCGACGAUGCGUAGCCGACCUGAGAGGGUGAUCGGCCACACUGGAACUGAGACACGGUCCAGACUCCUACGGGAGGCAGCAGUAGGGAAUCUUCCGCAAAGGGCGAAAGCCUGACGGAGCAACGCCGCGUGAGUGAUGAAGGUCUUCGGAUCGUAAAACUCUGUUAUUAGGGAAGAACAAAUGUGUAAGUAACUAUGCACGUCUUGACGGUACCUAAUCAGAAAGCCACGGCUAACUACGUG
rnacentral:rRNA from 1 species